GAACCCUUCCUCUCUGGCAUUUCAGGGGAUUGGACUGCAUGCACAAGUCUAUGAUUCCCCAUGUUCUGUUGCUUCUGACAUAGAAUCAUAGAGUUGGAAGAGACCACAAGGGCCAUCGAGUCCAAUUUACUCUGUGGGAAUCGGGUCUGGCCGUCACGGCGAAGGCAGAGACCCCUCAAAAAUCACAGGCAGGUGAAGCCUGUGAACGUGGGAUUCGGUGGGCACCUUUCGUGCCCCCCCUACUCGUGGGGAAACCUGAUUUCGGGGCUCCGGAGCGAAGUGGGGUGAGUGGCGCGGUGCUGUGAAUCGACUGCUUUUUCCACGGAGUGAAGCCGCACAGCCGUUGCCGGAGAGCGCUGACUUUUUCCUGUGGACAAUUUGAUUUUAAAAGCAACUACCCGUGAGUGGAAUAAAUUGGAAGUUUUUAAAGGGGAAAAAAACCUAAUUUGGCACUGAAGCGGGGAGGCUCAAACAGGAAGUCCGCCUUCCGCUUUUGUAAAUAGAUCAAAGCAAAGAGCUUGCAAGCUAAAGUCUUGGAAAGUCGAUCGGAAAGCACUAAUUUUCCAACAUUAAAAAAUAGUGAAUUCCCCCCCUUGGAAGCAGGAAAAGAGGGCGGGAAGUUUGACCAUAUAUACCUGCAAGAGAGAGGGAAGGAAGUUAAAAUUCCACCGCUCAGAACCUGGGAACGGGCUGCCAACAGGACAAUAAGACUGCCGUACUUUGAAAUGCGUAUUGACUGUGAAUAGACCAUGCGCUGACAGCUAGCUGAGUAAGAGAGAUACAUUGUUUUCAGCUGCCCCUUUUUGAUCUUAAAAAGGAGGAAAAGUAACUGAAAAUUGAAACUAACUUUCUUGCUUGAGUUGUGUUUUAAAAGGUGUUAUUUUGGAUUAAUACAAGUACAGAUAGCAACUGUUUCCCCCUAGAGGAAGUUUCUGAAACUGUUACAAGAGUUGGAUCAGGGGAAUUUUCCACUUGUAAGACAAAACUGUGUGACUGUGGGACUGACCUUGGAUUUUUUAAAGUGUUAUGGCAGAUGGGAAAGAAAAAGUAGAUCCAUCACACCCAGACAAAACAACAAGGUCUGGGAAGUCUUGGCAGCGAAGAGCGUCAGCAUCCGGCCCUUCUGCCUUAUCUGCGGCUGUACCAACACAAUCUAAAUCAAGAGGAAUGUCAUCAGAAGAAGCUCUAGCGCUUGCAUUAAGUAAGAUAAAUGAAUGGAACUUAACAAGAAAGCAGAUGCUACAAAUGCAAAAGUGGAUGCCACAAAUGCAAAAGUGGAUGCUGCAGUUAUUAAAAUUGAUGUAAAUACAGAAAGCAUAAAUAGUUUGGGACAAAAGGUGAAUACUAACACAGAAACUAUUGAGAAACUGAUACAGGAAUCUAAUUCGACACGACAGACCGCAGAGGAAGCCAAGGAAAAAGUUGCUGCUGUGGAAUUUAAGGUAACACAAUUGGAAACAGAGUUCCAGACCUACAGAGGCAACUUCGGGACCAUAAGCUGACGCUUUCUAUGAUUGAGCUUAAGGAGAAACAGACAAAUUUGAGGAUCAGAGCUGUACCUGAACUGGAGAAGGACAGUUUGAUAGACUUUCUCACACAGGAACUUGCAGAAUUUUGGGAGUUGGAUUUGGAACAAAAGGAAUUUAAAAUUGUGAGGGCCUUUAGAUUGGGAAGAGGAGGGAAGAAAGAGAAGAACAGAAUAAGAGACUGUUUGAUUACCCUCAGAUCUAAAGAAGAGAGAGACAGAAUUUUGGGUUGGCAUUACCAGAAGACUUUGGUAAUACAACAGUCAAGAGUGGAAAUAUUUAAAGAUAUCCCGAAACAUCUUUUGGACCUUAGGUCCAAUUACGGAGAUUUGGUUGUCCUGCUGAGAAGGAACAAAAUCAUCUUCAGGUGGGAAUUUCCCCAAGGCCUAUCCUUCAGUUUC